rnacentral:sRNA from 1 species
ACUCGCCGCCGCCGCCGCCAUAUUCCCGUGGCAUCUUCCUUACUUUGCCCAUCCUCCGGACUCGCGAUCUUCCUUCCGGAGCCAUGUCAGAAGGAGUGGACUUGAUUGAUAUAUAUGCUGACGAGGAGUUCAACCAGGUGAGGGGUCAUCAGGAGCUUUGGGAUUUUCCUUGAUCAUCUGAGGAAUCAUUUUCAGCAAACUGGCAGUGGUUUCAAGCUGUACCAGUCCUAGGCUUGAACACGCCUCUAUCCGGUCUAAAAUUUUUCUCCUGCAGAAACUUUAAAGACUACACUCCAUUCCUCUUUAUGUUAAUUUGAAGCUCCAGGCUUAAUUUUAAAGGCUUUGAUUUAAGAGCAAAUAAAAAGCAGGUGUAAUAGAAUGGUGAAUCAACCUGUGGAAUUUACUCCCCAGGAAGCCAAAGGACCCAGAGUUCAACAAUACAGAUCAGAUUGACCUGUAUGAUGAUGUGCUGACAGCCACCUCACAGCCCUCAGAUGACAGAAGCAGCAGCACUGAACCACCACCUCCUGUUCGCCAGGAGCCAUCUCCCAAGCCCAACAACAAGACCCCUGCAAUUCUGUAUACCUACAGUGGCCUGCGUAAUAGACGAGCUGCCGUCUAUGUGGGCAGCUUCU